rnacentral:rRNA from 1 species
GGGUUGUGAGGUUAAGCGACUAAGCGUACACGGUGGAUGCCCUGGCAGUCAGAGGCGAUGAAGGACGUGCUAAUCUGCGAAAAGCGUCGGUAAGGUGAUAUGAACCGUUAUAACCGGCGAUGUCCGAAUGGGGAAACCCAGUGCAAUUCGUUGCACUAUCGUUAACUGAAUACAUAGGUUAACGAGGCGAACCGGGGGAACUGAAACAUCUAAGUACCCCGAGGAAAAGAAAUCAACCGAGAUUCCCCAGUAGCGGCGAGCGAACGGGGAGCAGCCCAGAGUCUGAAUCAGCUUGUGUGUUAGUGGAACGGUCUGGAAAGUCCGACGGUACAGGGUGAUAGUCCCGUACACCAAAAUGCACAGGUUGUGAACUCGAAGAGUAGGGCGGGACACGUGGUAUCCUGUCUGAAUAUGGGGACCAUCCUCCAAAUACUCCUGACUGACCGAUAGUGAACCAGUACCGUGAGGGAAAGGCGAAAAGAACCCCGGCGAGGGAGUGAAAAGAACCUGAAACCGUGUACGUACAAGCAGUGGGAGCACCUUCGGGUGUGACUGCGUACCUUUUGUAUAAUGGGUCAGCGACUUAUAUUCUGUAGCAAGGUUAACCGUAUAGGGGAGCCGCAGGGAAACCGAGUCUUAACUGGGCGUUAAGUUGCAGGGUAUAGACCCGAAACCCGGUGAUCUAGCCAUGGGCAGGUUGAAGGUUGGGUAACACUAACUGGAGGACCGAACCGACUAAUGUUGAAAAAUUAGCGGAUGACUUGUGGCUGGGGGUGAAAGGCCAAUCAAACCGGGAGAUAGCUGGUUCUCCCCGAAAGCUAUUUAGGUAGCGCCUCGUGAAUUCAUCUUCGGGGGUAGAGCACUGUUUCGGCUAGGGGGUCAUCCCGACUUACCAACCCGAUGCAAACUACGAAUACCGAAGAAUGUUAUCACGGGAGACACACGGCGGGUGCUAACGUCCGUCGUGAAGAGGAAACAACCCAGACCGCCAGCUAAGGUCCCAAAGUCAUGGUUAAGUGGGAAACGAUGUGGGAAGGCACAGACAGCCGGAUGUUGGCUUAGAAGCAGCCAUCAUUUAAAGAAAGCGUAAUAGCUCACUGGUCGAGUCGGCCUGCGCGGAAGAUGUAACGGGCUAAACCAUGCACCGAAGCUGCGGCAGCGACACUAUGUGUUGUUGGGUAGGGAGCGUUCUGUAAGCCUGCGAAGGUGUGCUGUGAGGCAUGCUGGAGGUAUCAGAAGUGCGAAUGCUGACAUAAGUAACGAUAAAGCGGGUGAAAAGCCCGCUCGCCGGAAGACCAAGGGUUCCUGUCCAACGUUAAUCGGGGCAGGGUGAGUCGACCCCUAAGGCGAGGCCGAAAGGCGUAGUCGAUGGGAAACAGGUUAAUAUUCCUGUACUUGGUGUUACUGCGAAGGGGGGACGGAGAAGGCUAUGUUAGCCGGGCGACGGUUGUCCCGGUUUAAGCAUGUAGGCUGAUUAUCGAGCAAAUCCGGAUAAUCAAGGCUGAGGUGUGAUGACGAGGCACUACGGUGCUGAAGUAACAAAUGCCCUGCUUCCAGGAAAAGCCUCUAAGCAUCAGGUAACAUCAAAUCGUACCCCAAACCGACACAGGUGGUCAGGUAGAGAAUACCAAGGCGCUUGAGAGAACUCGGGUGAAGGAACUAGGCAAAAUGGUGCCGUAACUUCGGGAGAAGGCACGCUGGUGUGUAGGUGAAGCCCCUGCGGGUGGAGCUGAGACCAGUCGAAGAUACCAGCUGGCUGCAACUGUUUAUUAAAAACACAGCACUGUGCAAACACGAAAGUGGACGUAUACGGUGUGACGCCUGCCCGGUGCCGGAAGGUUAAUUGAUGGGGUUAUCCGUAAGGAGAAGCUCUUGAUCGAAGCCCCGGUAAACGGCGGCCGUAACUAUAACGGUCCUAAGGUAGCGAAAUUCCUUGUCGGGUAAGUUCCGACCUGCACGAAUGGCGUAAUGAUGGCGGGCUGUCUCCACCCGAGACUCAGUGAAAUUGAACUCGCUGUGAAGAUGCAGUGUACCCGCGGCAAGACGGAAAGACCCCGUGAACCUUUACUAUAGCUUGACACUGAACAUUGAGCCUUGAUGUGUAGGAUAGGUGGGAGGCUUUGAAGCGUGGACGCCAGUCUGCGUGGAGCCAACCUUGAAAUACCACCCUUUAAUGUUUGAUGUUCUAACGUUGGCCCCUGACCGGGGUUGCGGACAGUGUCUGGUGGGUAGUUUGACUGGGGCGGUCUCCUCCCAAAGCGUAACGGAGGAGCACGAAGGUUAGCUAAUCCUGGUCGGACAUCAGGAGGUUAGUGCAAUGGCAUAAGCUAGCUUGACUGCGAGCGUGACGGCGCGAGCAGGUGCGAAAGCAGGUCAUAGUGAUCCGGUGGUUCUGAAUGGAAGGGCCAUCGCUCAACGGAUAAAAGGUACUCCGGGGAUAACAGGCUGAUACCGCCCAAGAGUUCAUAUCGACGGCGGUGUUUGGCACCUCGAUGUCGGCUCAUCACAUCCUGGGGCUGAAGUAGGUCCCAAGGGUAUGGCUGUUCGCCAUUUAAAGUGGUACGCGAGCUGGGUUUAGAACGUCGUGAGACAGUUCGGUCCCUAUCUGCCGUGGGCGCUGGAGAAUUGAGGGGGGCUGCUCCUAGUACGAGAGGACCGGAGUGGACGCAUCACUGGUGUUCGGGUUGUCAUGCCAAUGGCACUGCCCGGUAGCUAAAUGCGGAAGAGAUAAGUGCUGAAAGCAUCUAAGCACGAAACUUGCCCCGAGAUGAGUUCUCCUGAGACUUUAAGUCUCCUGAAGGAACGUUGAAGACGACGACGUUGAUAGGCCGGGUGUGUAAGCGCAGCGAUGCGUUGAGCUAACCGGUACUAAUGAACCGUGAGGCUUAACCUUACAACGCCGAAG